GCCGGGGUGGCCGAGCCUGGAUUAUAGGCGGCGGCCUGCAGAGCCGCUAACGCUGGUUCAAAUCCGGCCCCCGGCU
rfam:Candidate divison MSBL1 archaeon SCGC-AAA261F19 AAA261F19_Contig_23, whole genome shotgun sequence.